UUCCGGUUGAUCCUGCCGGAGGUCACUGCUAUCGGGGUUCGAUUAAGCCAUGCGAGUCGAGAGGGUUCAGACCCUCGGUGGACUGCUCAGUAACACGUGGAUAAUCUGCCCUAUGGUGGAGGAUAACCCCGGGAAACUGGGGAUAAUACUCCAUAAGUCAGGAGUACUGGAAUGUCUCCUAACUGAAAGUUUCGGCGCCAUAGGAUGAAUCUGCGGCCGAUUAGGUAGUUGUUGGGGUAACGGCCCAACAAGCCCGUAAUCGGUACGGGUUGUGGGAGCAAGAGCCCGGAGAUGGAAUCUGAGACACGAUUCCAGGCCCUACGGGGCGCAGCAGGCGCGAAAACUUUACAAUGCAGGAAACUGUGAUAAGGGAACCCCGAGUGCCCGUACACGCGGGCUGUCCCGGUGUUUAAAACACAUCGGAAGAAAGGGCCGGGCAAGACCGGUGCCAGCCGCCGCGGUAAUACCGGCGGCUCGAGUGGUGACCACUUUUAUUGGGCUUAAAGCGUUCGUAGCUUGAUUUUUAAGUCUCUUGGGAAAUCUCACGGCUUAACUGUGAGGCGUCUAAGAGAUACUGGGAAUCUAGGGACCGGGAGAGGUAAGAGGUACUUCAGGGGUAGAAGUGAGAUUCUGUAAUCCUUGAGGGACCACCGAUGGCGAAGGCAUCUUACUAGAACGGCUUCGACAGUGAGGAACGAAAGCUGGGGGAGCGAACGGGAUUAGAUACCCGGGUAGUCCCAGCUGUAAACGAUGCAGACUCGGUGAUGAGUUGGCUUAUUGCUAACUCAGUGCCGCAGGGAAGCCGUUAAGUUUGCCGCCUGGGGAGUACGGUCGCAAGGCUGAAACUUAAAGGAAUUGGCGGGGGAGCACCACAACGGGUGGAGCCUGCGGUUUAAUUGGAUUCAACGCCGGG
rnacentral:rRNA from 1 species